rnacentral:rRNA from 1 species
UACCAGCACCCGAGUGGUCGGACGUUUAUUGGGCCGUAAAGCAUCGUAGCCGGUUCUACAAGUCAUUCCGUUAAAUCCACCUGCUUAACAGAUGGGCUGCGGAAGAUACUAUAGAGCUAGGAGGCGGGAGAGGCAAGCGGUACUCGAUGGGUAGGGGUAAAAUCCGUUGACUCCAUGAAGACCACCAGUGGCGAAGGCGGCUUGCCAGAACGCGCUCGACGGUGAGG